GCCAAUUGCACGCUCCCUCAAAACUUGUGACAGCUGUGGCAUUGUGCUCUGUGAUGGAACCUGAUGGACUGUAAAUAAAAAUGGACGUAGCGUCCGUGACGUCAUCCAUAGCCUUCUGAAGAGCCGUUUUGAAGCUCAAAGUUGGCUGAGCUGCCAGCCUCUAUCUUGGUACACUUGAUAACCAUAAAUGGAUAAAGAGGCGGCUCGUGGGUGGAGCUGAGGUGACAGGUUGCUAAAACCACGCCCGCCUCGCUCGACGUGAGUUAGCUCAGGCUAAGGAGCUAAUGCUAUAUGCUACUAACUACUGUAUUAGCAGAAGUAGCUUUUACCCGGGGCUUGUCUGGCUGGAGGUUGGUAGCCUGUGGCCGCAUCGUUACAAGCAUACAGGAGUCAACAGUGUGGAUCACGUGAGAGAGCUGCAGAGACCUGUGAAGCCUCCUCCGUGUGCUGGACGUCUGUAUCUGAUGAGGUGGACUGACAUGGAAUGCCCUUCUCCCCUUUUGUUUACUUUUAGUUUUAAAUAUUGUCCAUAUGGGUUUUAUGUCCAUUUUAACUCAUUUGUCUUUAUUACUGACUGAAAAUCACAUUGUGUCUGUCAAUUCCACCGACCUGCUGGUCAUACAACAUCAAAAUGAACUUUUGUUAAAUGAGAAGUUUAGUAUAAGUUGAAAAGUGAAAAUACUCCUAAAACAUGUUUCCCAUGAAUUGUGAUUAUGCUGUGUAUUUCUGUGUGUGCUGGAGUAUUUUCACUUUUCUACCAUAUACUUGGAUGGGUCUUACACCCUGUACCAGAGCCUGAUGUUGUUGAAGACUGCCUUCUUUGCUGCUCUGAUAUAAGUCUAGUUUAAACACAUAAAAAUUUGUGCACAUCCAAACUAACCUGUGGGUAAAUGAUGAAACAAAAGACUGACCUGCACAAAGUAGUUAUGAAUCUAACUAGGUGGUGUGCGAUAUGACGAUAUCUUUCAUUUGACGAUAGAAAAACGUCUUGUUUAUUAUGUAAACCCUUCAUUUUUAGUAUAUUUAGUCUGAUCAAUUUGAUAUAAUGUAAAUUAUUUUUAAUACACAAGCAAUAUUUUAACAAUUUAAAAAUCUAUCUUGCAUCUUUUUUUUAAUUUAUGUUUUAUUUAAAAGGAACAGUGCAUAUUAAUGGACAUCUUAGCUUUUCAGCAAUGUAAAUACCUUAUGCCAGAAUUAGCCCGAAGGCUAUUUUACAUCUGUAGUCCCCCGGCAGGUCAUUAGAGUUAAAGUACAAGGUAACACAGCUAAACAUUAAAUUAAAUAUGAUACAACACAGUUUAAGAGACACCUUCAGUUUUCAACAUCAUAUUAUAAAAGACCUCACAGUUUUGUAUACAGGGUUAUGUAAUUUCAAGUGCUGUUUAUGGAGUAAUUUGCCAUUCAAUGAAAUUAAGUACAAUUAUGUUAAAGUGCUAUUUAGUGCAGUAAAGUGCUGCAUCUAGUACGGUAAACACACACCUACACAAACAAUACAACAGUCAACGAACCCAUACACACACAAUACUGAGUAUACUGAGUCCGUUAUUGGUCAGAAGUUUGAUGCGUCUUGAGCCAUUGUUUGAGUUGGUUCUUAAAACUGGGGUAAGUUGGACAUUACCUCACGGCUGCCGGCAACUUGUUCCAGAUCUCUGUCCCCUUAACUGACAAUACAAAUUGUCCAAAUGUUGUACUUCUGUAAGGCACCAUACAAUCACCUCUUGUGGAGGCCCUGGUUACAGUUCAGCCACCACCAGUUGGUUUCAAUUUAAUGUACUCACUUUGUGGGGGGUGGGGGGUGCAAAUCCAUGGCAUAUUCAAAUUUGAAAAAUUUUCAAAGCUCAGCAAGUUAUGUUUCUGCAGGGUUAAGCAGUGAUGAAAAGAAAAUGGUUUUCUUGCUGAUGUAAGUUGUUGUUUAUCUGAGGUCAGACCAGUUUUGAGCGACUUUGUUAUGUGACACUGUUGUUUGUAACAUCUUAACAUGAAACAAAUGCAGCCCAAUCCAGCUCUUUAAGGGCUGUUUCCAGAUUUAGAUGUUGUGUUUUGGGGAUUAUAUCAUGAUACAAAGUAUAAGUCUAAAUAGUUAGAUGAGUGUGACAUGGAAUUAUGAAAUCUUGUUUUGGUUAGUUUUUGUUAAAAGAAGAAGCCAUUAUGAUCAGACAACCAGUUAAGAGAUUGUAUCCAUCCAUCCAUCCAUCCCUCGUCAACCGCUUAUCCUGUGUACAGGGUCGUGGGGGACUGGAGCAAAGCCAGCUUACAUUGGGCGAAAGGCGGGGUACACCCUGGACAGGUCGCCAGUCCAUCGCAGGUUAAGAGGUUGUAGGUUUUAAUAAUUCUUUCAGGCUUGUUUGUCAACAUUAAAUCUAUUCGUGUUUUGGAGCGGUUAGUUACUCUGUUUGACGCUUCAAUUAAUUGAUCCAAAUUAAAAUGAUCAGUUAUCUGUU